UACGUAGGGAGCAAGCGUUGUCCGGAAUCAUUGGGCGUAAAGCGCGCGUAGGUGGUCCCGUAAGUCCGCUGUGAAAGUCAAAGGCUCAACCUUUGAAAGCCGGUGGAUACUGUGGGACUAGAGUACGGAAGAGGCGAGUGGAAUUCCUGGUGUAGCGGUGGAAUGCGCAGAUAUCAGGAGGAACACCAAUAGCGAAGGCAGCUCGCUGGGACGUUACUGACACUGAGGCGCGAAAGCGUAGGGAGCGAACAGG
rnacentral:rRNA from 1 species